UUUGGCAUGGCCUUGGGGCGACGGCAAGCCUACGACAGCAGUAGCAGUAGCAGCAGACCAAGCAUGAAUUUUGCAAUGACCUUUGUGUGCACUAUUGUUCUGGAGCUGGUGUACUACCCAAAGCUGUCGUUGCCGGGCUUCUUAAUUUGUGGUUUCAUCUUGUGGAUCGCCAGCAGGGAGCUGACUCCUUCAGGAUAUGUUGAGCUUGGGAGCACUGACGAGUCGGUGUAUGAGGCUGUCAUGGGGCCAGUCCGGCAUAUCCUUAGUGAACGCAAGUCCAGGAAGAUUGCUGCUUUUCUGUUGAUCAAUACAGCUUACAUGUUUGUUGAGUUUGCCAGUGGUUUCAUGAGCGAUAGCCUUGGGCUGCUCUCUGACGCUUGCCAUAUGUUGUUUGAUUGUGCUGCUCUGGCAAUUGGACUAUAUGCAUCGUACAUCGCGAGGCUGCCUGCAAAUGGAUUGUAUAACUAUGGAAGGGGCAGGUUCGAGGUGCUAUCUGGGUAUGUUAAUGCAGUGUUCUUGGUACUUGUUGGGGCACUGAUUGUGUUGGAGUCGUUCGAGAGGAUACUCGAGCCUCGAGAGAUAUCAACAAGUAGCCUUUUGGCAGUUUCUGUUGGUGGACUUUUCGUAAAUAUCAUUGGAUUGGUUUUCUUUCAUGAGGAGCACCAUCAUGCGCAUGGCGGUAGCUGCUCUCACUCCCAUUCACAUUCCCAUUCUCGUUCACAUGAUCAUGGUCAUGAAGAUUACCAUCAUGAUCAUGGUCAUGAAGAUCACCAUCACCAUCAUGACCAUGUUCAUCAGAGUGCUGAUCACGAGAAGACAUGUUCUGGUCAUCAUGGAGACACAAAUAAGAGCCAUCAUCAUAAUCACCGACAUGAUAGUAACAAUGCAGAGAAUCAUCAUCAACAUAACCAUAGCUGUAGCCACAAGCACGGUCACAAUGGCCAUGUGGAACAUCACCAGCAGGGUGUAGAUCAGGCUCAUCAAGAUUGUCGCAGCAUCAACGGUGAGCAAGGACUUCUAGAGAUUCCACUGAUAAAUGUGCACUCUCAUGGUGCAGAAUCUCAGUCUUGUAAUGGAGAAGUGGAAUCGCCAGAAAUCGGAAACCAUGCCAAGCCAGCAAGCCGGCGUCACAUUGACCAUAACAUGGAAGGUAUCUUCUUACAUGUCCUAGCUGACACAAUGGGAAGCGUCGGUGUUGUGAUCUCGACCCUACUAAUCAAGUACAAGGGAUGGCUAAUAGCAGAUCCCAUUUGCUCUGUAUUCAUUUCAAUAAUGAUUGUGGCUUCUGUCCUUCCAUUGUUGAGAAAUUCUGCUGAAAUUUUGUUGCAAAGAGUUCCAAGGAGCCAUGAGAAGGACUUUGAAGCAGCACUGGAUGAUGUUAAGAAGAUUAAUGGUGUGAUUGGAGUCCAUAAUGUUCAUUUAUGGAACUUGACAAACACCGAUAUUGUAGGCACUUUUCAUCUUCAUAUAUCAGCCGAAGCUGACAAGUCUGUUAUAAGAGAAAGUGCUUCACGGAUAUUUCAAGAAGCUGGGGUUCAAGAUCUGACUAUCCAGAUUGAAUGUGUCGAAAGAUAGCAGUUGUUGGUAUAGCGACACUUGUCGGUAGAGUGAUAGGAUUUUGGCACAGAACAAAUAUAUCUGUAGUGCUCCAUUCAGGAGCCAUCCUUUAUGUACUGUUGGAAGGAAAUUGCAUUGAAAUACAGGUUUGCAGCUUAAUCAUUUUGGUCUGAGCAGCUUAAUAUUUAGAUGCUGUAUAUUGUCCAUGUUGCAUAUAGACUUCAUAAAAGCUUUCCUCCAGCCCUAGGCUACAGUCACAUGGUGAUAAGCAGUUCAAGCUUAAACAAGCAGAUUAAUGAAGUAAACAAAGAGCACAAUGCCAGCAGAAAAGAAAGGAUUACAUGACCAUAUAUAACCAGUACAAACUUAAGCAAGCAAAUGAAUGGAGAAAGCAAAUUAAGUAGCAGUACAACGAGAAGUGAAGCCUCUAAAUCAAAGAGUUACACUGAAUAAUGCAAGCCCGUGUUGUUGGAGCAGUGCAACAGGAACCUUAGUUCAGCUCAGAUAUAAUUCGUCUGUAUCUUCGACAUCAAAUUGUAUCCAUUUCAUGUGUUCUCUCUUAUUCAUCACCUGGUAUGUGCCUACAUAGGACCUUGUUGCUUGCAUCGCCGUGUCUUUUGGCAAGGAGUAAAUUAUCGUUUGGAGGGGAACAGACUGAUGAAAGCAUACAGGAUAGUAUGCAAAAGACAUUCCCUUCAGUUCUUGAAUCAGAGUGCCGCAGUGAAGAGCAAGAUGCUUUUUUGGUUGAUGAAUUGGUCCGAAUAGAUUGGGAGGCCACGACCAUCAGGUUCCUCUCUUUUGGUCUUGUGAUGAAUGCUCUAUUGGGGUGUUCCUAUAGUGAUCGAUGUUCUCGAAGGACAUGGAGUUUGACGCUGUUAACACGAUGCAUAUGUGUGCAGACAUGCUGAGAUGGAGGAAAGAGUUCGGUGUGAGCAUGAUUCUUGAGGCGAUCACGCUGACCUACAGCAAUGCUGCAAUUGUUGCAAUCUUUGCUUAAUGUCCAACAUUCAACGAGUUCACGUGCACAGGGUUUUGAGUUUUACCGCCCCCUGGCGACACGAGCCUGCCCUCCUCUGCGCCGCCCCUGGUGGCGAACCCCGCCUCUGCUGCUGAGGCUGCCGCUGCAUCACUCUCUCUCCCUGCUCAUCUUUGUGCCUGCCAGUUGGUCGAGGUGGCAGCAGUAUGAGAUGUUAUCGCUGGUCUGUUGCCAAUUUACCAUGAACCAUCUUACUAGCGUAAUGUAUUUAUGCAUUUAUCCAAGGAAUACUGUACCUUCUAGAUUUUCUUGUACAUUUGUACCAUACGUACUUAUUUUAUUGCUGUGUUGUCAAAAUAGAUGAUCAUGUCAAAGCAUGAAUUCAGUAACUGAUAUUACAGCUGCAGCCUCAUAAGCACAAGUACUGGUGCUCUGUUUUCUAAUCUUUGCUUCUUUUUGUGUUUAAAUUCCACAUGGCUCAGUUUUGUUUCUAACCUUCAUGCUUUUUUGCAGUCAUAUAUUUACAGAAAUUUUGCACUCAUUUGUUAUUGCUGGUCCGUUGCCAGUUUACCAUGUGCCAUUAUGAUCUAGUGUGCCUAUAUGGCUAUAUAAGCCUACGUCUGCUAAUCAAACUACAAGUGCGAUCCUUAGUCGCCUAAGACUUC